AUGAUACUAGGGGGGGAUUUCAAUAUUCCCCGAUAUCAGCAGGAGAAAAACAACGAUAGGUCUGACACUAGAUGGCCAUUCCUUUUUAAUGCUGUUAUUGAUAGUCUCGAUUUGCGGGAACUUACCUUAUCUGGGCGCCAAUAUACAUGGGCCAAUAACAGAUCUAUCCCAACUUUCGAAAAAUUAGACCGGGUGCUCGUUACCACCGACUGGGAAUUUAAGUACCCCCUAGCUUCGGUGAGAGCACUGGAGAGAAUUGAGGCUUUAUCUGAUCAUGCUCCGUUGCUAACUGAUUUCGGUCAACCUGUUCCUAGUAAUAGCCGCCAUCAGUUCAAAUUCGAAUUGGGAUGGCUCACUAGAGAGGGUUUUCAUGAGUUGGUAAAAAAGUGUGGCAACGCCAACCUCGUGGUGACACACCAAUUCAACGAUGGAACAAUCGUAUCCGUGCGCUGCGCCAAUUCCUUCGUGGUUGGGCCAAACACACCGCAGGGAUUUAUAAGAAGGAGAAGUUGCGAAUCUCUACCUUAA
rnacentral:rRNA from 1 species